rnacentral:ncRNA from 12 species
GCCACCAGAGGUAGAAAGAACCCGUCGCUAUACACCGAUCCGUCAGGGUUGGCAAAGCUCGAAAGGGCUAUGAGAGAUGCGGGGGUGGCGGUCCUGCCUGGUGGU